rnacentral:rRNA from 1 species
UACAGAGGGGGCAAGCGUUGUUCGGAAUUACUGGGCGUAAAGGGCGCGUAGGCGGCCUGCUAAGUCGAACGUGAAAUCCCUGGGCUCAACCCAGGGACUGCGUCCGAUACUGGUUGGCUUGAAUCCGGGAGAGGGAUGUGGAAUUCCAGGUGUAGCGGUGAAAUGCGUAGAUAUCUGGAGGAACACCGGGUGGCGAAGGCGACAUCCUGGACCGGUAUUGACGCUGAGGCGCGAAAGCCAGGGGAGCAAACGGG